UUUAGAAUUUUAGUUUACAGAAUAUGGCUGCGAGUCUUUCACCUACGCUAUAUGCAAUCUCAGUUUCGUCCACAAAUUGUAAAACCCCCACUUCUUUCGGCUUCCAAAACAUUUGCCGUUAUAAUCCGCACUCUUCCCAUCGAUUAAAAGCUACUGGAAAGUUGUUUCGAGUCCAAGCAACAGUUUUGCGAGAAAAUGAGGAGAAAGUGGUAGUAGAGGAAACAUUUCAACCCAAAACUAUUACUGAUGAGAAGAAAGGAGG
rnacentral:misc_RNA from 1 species